UACACUCCUACGGGAGGCAGCAGUGGGGAAUUUUGGACAAUGGGCGAAAGCCUGAUCCAGCAAUGCCGCGUGAGUGAAGAAGGCCUUCGGGUUGUAAAGCUCUUUUGUCAGGGAAGAAACGGUGAGAGCUAAUAUCUCUUGCUAAUGACGGUACCUGAAGAAUAAGCACCGGCUAACUACGUGCCAGCAGCCGCGGUAAUACGUAGGGUGCAAGCGUUAAUCGGAAUUACUGGGCGUAAAGCGUGCGCAGGCGGUUUUGUAAGUCUGAUGUGAAAUCCCCGGGCUCAACCUGGGAAUUGCAUGGGAGACUGCAAGGCUAGAAUCUGGCAGAGGGGGGUAGAAUUCCACGUGUAGCAGUGAAAUGCGUAGAUAUGUGGAGGAACACCGAUGGCGAAGGCAGCCCCCUGGGUCAAGAUUGACGCUCAUGCACGAAAGCGUGGGGAGCAAACAGGAUUAGAUACCCUGGUAGUCCCAUGAU
rnacentral:rRNA from 1 species